rnacentral:rRNA from 1 species
UACGGAGGAUCCAAGCGUUAUCCGGAAUCAUUGGGUUUAAAGGGUCCGUAGGCGGGCCUGUAAGUCAGUGGUGAAAUCCGGCGGCUUAACCGUCGAACUGCCAUUGAUACUGCAGGCCUUGAAUUAUUGGGAAGUAACUAGAAUAUGUAGUGUAGCGGUGAAAUGCUUAGAUAUUACAUGGAAUACCGAUUGCGAAGGCAGGUUACUAUCAAUACAUUGACGCUGAUGGACGAAAGCGUGGGGAGCGAACAGGAUUAGAUACCCUGGUAGUCCACGCCGUAAACGAUGGAUACUAGCUGUCGGGAGCAAUCUCGGUGGCUAAGCGAAAGUGAUAAGUAUCCCACCUGGGGAGUACGAACGCAAGUUUGAA